rnacentral:lncRNA from 1 species
UCAUUGCAAGUCUUCUCCUGUUUAAUUGAAUAACAAGGAUAGCCUGACGCCUGACUGAGUUAGUCUAUCAGUCUAUCUACUGUUUAUUGGAAAUUACAUGCAAUUCUGCACCUGAAUAACUCAAAGUUUAAGGACUUAUUUAGUUUGUCUAGCAUUUUUUCAUUGGAAUUGUCACAUCCUAAAAUAAACCUCAGCAUUUCAAGAGGCGAAGGCUUGUAAACACACCAUCACUUCCAGCUACCGUAUCAAAAGAGGAGGAGUUGAAACAAGAAGUUCAAGAUUACAUCUUAAUGAUCGACAAAGGAGAAUUCAGCCAAAAAUGUGAUGUCCUUCAAUUUUGGAAAGAGAAAUUGGGUAGAUUUCCCACUCUAGCACCAAUUGCCUUGCAGUACCAGGCCAUGCCCGCAACUUCCGCAUCAGCAGAGCGUCUUUUCUCGUGUAGUGGCCUUUCCUGCAAAGGGAAAAAAACAAACGUUUCUUCCGUUUUGCUUGAAUCUGAAACUCUGUGCCGGUUUAACAGAAAUUUAGAUUCAUAACUUAUUCAAAACUCAAGUUGUAGAAGAAAUACAGAAAGAAUAAUCAAAGAAUCAAACUGCU